UUCACAAGAGUCCCCUACUUUUAAUAUGCUUUUUCUGGACUUUAAUAGAACUUUUAUAACUAGCACCUGUGCUUCAGCUGAAGUACUAGGGACUUCAAGUGUACUUGCUUCAACUGCAGCUGUACUUCAUCUGAAGCCCCAUCCAGCUUCUAAUGAGCUUCUGAAUUUGUGAAUGUGUACUUCAGGUGAAGUACCAGGGCUUUUUAAGUGCUUCAUUUUGAUAGUAUUUUGUACUAGAGACUUAUUUGCUACUUCUCAGACUUUGACUGUUUGUUUGAAAGUUAUUUUGAUACAAAAUGUAUACUUAAGUUGUGCUUUUGAAACUUAGCAAUGUAGGACUUGUUUUGAGGGGGCUUCAAAAAUGCUUUUAAAACUUGUAUUUUUGUAGUUCUCUGAUAUGAUUAUCAGCUUGGAAAUUAAUUCAUAAAGUCAAUGAAAAUGCAUGUAUAAAAAAACUGUAAAUAAGUGUAAAAUCAAUAUUUUAGUUUGAUAAGGAUUUAACAUUCUACAGAUCAUGGUGGUGAAAAAUAUAUUUAUUAAAUUCCAUCAAAAAUAUAUGAUUCAUUAUGAAGUCUAUUAUACCAAUUCAGAGCCAGUUUUGACAUUAAAAAAUACUUUCUAAAAAUUAUUAUUGCACAUGAAUCAUCUAAAUAUAUUGUAAUUAACAGGUAUCAUCAGUAUCUGCUUAACAUAAAAAAGAAGAAUUAAAAAAAAUAUUUUUCUUACAUAGUUCAAAGAUGCUCAAAGACUUAAAUUAUGCACCCUUCCCUAAAUCUACCACUGUUUUCUUCCACACAAAUAUUCUUAUCACAAACAUCUGUGAUCCCUCAAGUGGAAAUUAUGACCCCUUCCAACAGUUUUCAAAAUACCCCAUGUUAAGCUGACCUAUCUGAUACAUGAGAAUAGUGAGGUUACAAUACUCUAGCUACAUGUAACCUAAUACCCAGAACAAAUCUUCAUCCUGGCAAUUUAUACAGAAGUGUAUGAAUGUCUGGAUCUGCUUACAAGUUUUAAGAUAUGUUAUUAUGAGUGCAUCUGAGCUAGUAUAAAGUUAAAUGUGGUUAUUGUUAUUUAGUUGAAAUGAUUCCAACUAAUACAGGUUUACAACAAUUUUCUGAAACUAAAUUAACAUGUAUAAUGGGACAUCAAAUGUGUACUUAAAGUUCCUUAGCAGUUAAAAAUGGAGGCAAAUUGAUAACCAAUUCUAUGGAAUACAUUUAUGACCAAAUUCUCCAAAAUUCAGUGAGAAGUUUGAAAAUGAAAGAGGAAAAGGAUACAAAAGAAUACAGAACUUACUUGGAUGCAGAAGAGGUAUUCCCAUCAUAUAAAAUCAAACCAGGAUUGUGCCAGUGAAUCUGUUUGGAAAAGACUGAAAGUGAAGGACAUGUAUAAAUUGAAAUUUAAUAGAUGUUACGCUCAUAAGAUGUAUUAUAGUGAUAUACCUUUAUGCAUGGAACCGUAUUUGUUAAUGUGGGUGAAAUGACUGAAUAAAUUUCCUUGAUGUAACAUUUAAUGAAUUAUUAUUGUUUAUCAGUUGAAAGUUGAUACUGUAAUGCUCACGUGAACAAAAAGUGCUCAGGUGAGAUUUUGUGAUUUCCUGAUGUCUGUAAAACCUUAAUUGUAAUUAAUCCAUUAAGUUAAAAGAUUCAAGAGAAAUCUAAAAAUGUUUACUGAUUUUGGAGCUUUUAAGUUUUGUAGUGGGGCUUCAAUAGUACUUUUUUCACUGGGACUUAAUUUGUACUUCAUCAAUAUGCUUCAUGUGUGCUUCAAAGAGAAGCUUCAGGUAUGCUUCUUAACUGAGACUUCAUCUGUACUUCUUUAUGGGCUUCAAGUGUGCUGCAUAAUUACACUGAAUUCCCUUAAUAUGCAAGCUUCAAAUGUACUUCUCAAGGGGUACUCCAAAGAUACUUUAAAGAAGUACGGUUGAAGCCUAAUUAGCAUAAUUCGAACGCGCUUCAAAGGAGCUUCACCUAUGUGUUGGCCAUUAGCAUUUCCAUCAAAUAGAUGAAAGCACAUAUGAAGCAGGGACUGCAACCAAGCUUCUUAUAUACUUCACCAUAGAGCUUCAAAUAUACUUAUAAUAUACUUGAAUUGUGCUCUAUUUGUG